rnacentral:rRNA from 1 species
CGACCGGCGCACGGGUGAGUAACACGUAUCCAACCUGCCGAUAACUCGGGGAUAGCCUUUCGAAAGAAAGAUUAAUAUCCGAUAGCAUAUCAAUUCCGCAUGAGAUUGAUAUUAAAGAAUUUCGGUUAUCGAUGGGGAUGCGUUCCAUUAGUUUGUUGGCGGGGUAACGGCCCACCAAGACUACGAUGGAUAGGGGUUCUGAGAGGAAGGUCCCCCACAUUGGAACUGAGACACGGUCCAA